rnacentral:rRNA from 1 species
AGACCCGAAACCCGGUGAUCUAGCCAUGGGCAGGUUGAAGGUUGGGUAACACUAACUGGAGGACCGAACCGACUAAUGUUGAAAAAUUAGCGGAUGACCUGUGGCUGGGGGUGAAAGGCCAAUCAAACCGGGAGAUAGCUGGUUCUCCCCGAAAGCUAUUUAGGUAGCGCCUCGUGAAUUCAUCUCCGGGGGUAGAGCACUGUUUCGGCUAGGGGGCCAUCCCGGCUUACCAACCCGAUGCAAACUGCGAAUACCGGAGAAUGUUAUCACGGGAGACACACGGCGGGUGCUAACGUCCGUCGUGAAGAGGGAAACAACCCAGACCGCCAGCUAAGGUCCCAAAGUCAUGGUUAAGUGGGAAACGAUGUGGGAAGGCCCAGACAGCCAGGAUGUUGGCUUAGAAGCAGCCAUCAUUUAAAGAAAGCGUAAUAGCUCACUGGUCGAGUCGGCCUGCGCGGAAGAUGUAACGGGGCUAAACCAUGCACCGAAGCUGCGGCAGCGACACUGUGUGUUGUUGGGUAGGGGAGCGUUCUGUAAGCCUGUGAAGGUGUGUCGUGAGGCAUGCUGGAGGUAUCAGAAGUGCGA